rnacentral:rRNA from 1 species
UGCCAGCAGCCGCGGUAAUACGGAGGGUGCAAGCGUUAAUCGGAAUUACUGGGCGUAAAGCGCGCGUAGGCGGCUUUGUAAGUCAGAUGUGAAAGCCCCGGGCUCAACCCGGGAAUUGCAUUCGAUACUGCAGAGCUAGAGUAUGGUAGAGGGAAGUGGAAUUUCCGGUGUAGCGGUGAAAUGCGUAGAUAUCGGAAGGAACACCAGUGGCGAAGGCGACUUCCUGGGCCAAUACUGACGCUGAGAUGCGAAAGCGUGGGGAGCGAACAGGAUUAGAUA